rnacentral:rRNA from 1 species
UGGGGGAUAUUGCACAAUGGGCGAAAGCCUGAUGCAGCGACGCCGCGUGGGGGAUGAAGGCCUUCGGGUUGUAAACUUCUUUUGCUCUGAACAAGGCAUGCUAAUGGGUGUGUUGAGUGUAGGGGUUGAUUAGCGCCGGCUAACUACGUGCCAGCAGCCGCGGUAAUACGUAGGGCGCGAGCGUUGUCCGGAAUUAUUGGGCGUAAAGGGCUUGUAGGUGGCUGGUUGCGUCUGUCGUGAAAGCUCAUGGCUUAACUGUGGGUUUGCGGUGGGUACGGGCUGGCUUGAGUGCAGUAGGGACGGCUGGAAUCCCUGGUCUAGCGGUGGAAUGCGCAGAUAUCAGGAGGAAUACCGGUGGCGAAGGCGGGUCUCUGGGCUGUUACUGACACUGAGGAGCGAAAGCAUGGGGAGCGAACAGG